UGCAAUGAUGUCGUAAUUUGCGUCUCACUCUGUUCUCAGCGACAGUUGCCUGCUGUCAGUAAGCUGGUUCAGAAGGGUGACGAAAAUACUUACUGAGCA
ensembl:snoRNA SNORD16 Small nucleolar RNA SNORD16